rnacentral:rRNA from 1 species
UACGAAGGGGACUAGCGUUGUUCGGAAUCACUGGGCGUAAAGCGCACGUAGGCGGCUAUGUAAGUCAGGGGUGAAAUCCCGGGGCUCAACCUCGGAACUGCCUUUGAUACAGCAUAUCUUGAGUCCGAUAGAGGUGGGUGGAAUUCCUAGUGUAGAGGUGAAAUUCGUAGAUAUUAGGAAGAACACCGGUGGCGAAGGCGGCCCACUGGAUCGGUACUGACGCUGAGGUGCGAAAGCGUGGGGAGCAAACAGG